UCCAAUGGGAAACAGGGGCGGGAGGCCUUGCGCCUGCUGGUUCGAACUGCCAGUCUGCUAACCCGCCUUUUGUUUCCCGCCCAC
rnacentral:antisense_RNA from 1 species